rnacentral:tmRNA from 1 species
GGGGGUGGUUCAAACGACGAAACGUUCGCACUGGCAGCCUAAGGGCCGCCGUCCUCUGCCUAGUUCACUGACGGACUAGCGUCGCAAGACCGGUAGCAAUACCGCCAGAGGUCAUACACGUCAGUUAAGCCUUGGCGGCGCCACGACGCCGAGGUCGAAAACUUAGUGGAUCGCUGUUGCGUAGCGUGUUCGUCCGCGACAAUACGGUUAAAUCAAAUGACAGAACUAAGUAUGUAGAACUGAUCGUGGAGUACUUGCGGACGCGGGUUCGAUCCCCGCCGGCUCCACCA